UUAAUUCAAAUUUGACGGUAUUUUAGUCUUUUUAAUGCUGGUGUCUUCCAAAGAGAUAUCUUCAAUUGACACAUCAUUUACUUGUUCUUUCAACUUUCUCACUUCAUCAUUCUCUACUUUGAUCUCAGCUUUUGCGUAGGGGAUCAUACAAAAUCGAAACUUCUCGUGUUUGAAGCUAUAUUCCCUUUCAGAAUUCAAUUGCAGUCAAUGUAGUUGAAGCGGGAUCCUUUUCCUUUGUCCAGAAGUUCUCAAUUUGUUUGAUUGUAUUUACAUGAUCAGAUAGAUGAUAUUCAGAACAAAUGUUGUCGGAAAAGGAAAACUGAAACACUUUCUGACCAUGGAAUUGUUCUUAUUAUUCAAUUCGUGAUCGAAGUUAGAGGUACACUAUCCAACCUUAAAAAUUAGUUUUGUGUUUGUAAGUCCCCCAAAAUAGUUAAUGUUCUGAAGUUCUAAAUAUGUUUAAUUGUAUGUCAAUCUGGAGACUCUGACUUUUGUGUGUAUGUGCACUCUUUGAUCUUUGCUGCAUCGUCUUGAAACAACUAUUAUCACAGUAUGGACCCAGACCAAGUUGUUGCUGGAUUGGUUGGAAUGGGAUUUUCGUUAUCUGAUAUUGCUAAUGCUCUAGAAGUAGUGGGUCCAUCAAUGAUAGUUUGAUUGAUUAUUGCUGCUGUCUUGCCUUAGUUUUCAAGAAAUUGUGGCUGCUGAGAACUUUAUGAAUUGUUUCGCAAUGAUUUUGGAAUUUCUAUCUUUUGUCAAGUUAAGAAUAAAAUAUUCAGCAGCAUCAAGACCUUAUAGGAUUCCACUAGGAAGUUACUUCAGUUCAGAUAAAAAAGAUAUGCAAAAUAGGACAUCUCAGCAUGCCAAGAACCUACUACAUAUAGACAUAUAGGAAACCAAUCUGGCUCUCAAAUUAACACGUGUAUUUGAUUAUGGUAGAUGCUUUGUUCUGUCAGUGCACUCUUUCUAUCCUCAAUUGUACCAAGCCAUUGUCACCCACAUUUUACAAUUAAAAAUCAACAAGCAGAGACCCAAUUAAACCGGUGACCCUCUAAUGUAAAACCAAGAGGAUAGCUUCAUCUAUUUCUAAAUGAAACCAAAAUUAAGUGAACAAAACUCUUAACCUACCAUAGAAGAAAAGGAAGUCAACAAAUAAAAUCGCAUGUAUACAGUGUGUUCUGCACAAAAAUUACCAUGUAGUCGAUGCACAUCCGCCUGAUCAAAUCAUAAGCUUCAGAAUCACCAUAUACUUGGUCAGCAGCUGCACGGAAGAGGCAAGACCAAUACUGAUAGAAAUCACCUAUUGUCAUUCACUGCAUCAGCAACUCUAGAAAGCAGCAAAUGCAAGCUGUACCAGAUCAUGAUGAAGGAAGACUGAAAGGUUAUUUUUAUGUGGAGCUGCCCAACUCUGAAAAGCAGCCAAAAGGCAGAACUAUGUAAAUAUAAUAGGAUGUAAAUAUCUAAAUAAUACAGCCAGAAAAACAAACUAAACAAUUGCCAACUUAUUUACAAUAUCUAACGAUCUCUAUAUAUCUAUGUAUCUCCAUAUGUACAUUUAGCCGGCUUAUACAUUUUUAUA